GCCUACGGGGGGCAGCAGUAGGGAAUUUUCCGCAAUGGGCGCAAGCCUGACGGAGCAACGCCGCGUGAGGGAUGAAGGUUUUCGGAUCGUAAACCUCUGUCUUCAGGGACGAUAAUGACGGUACCUGAGGAGGAAGCCACGGCUAACUACGUGCCAGCAGCCGCGGUAAUACGUAGGUGGCAAGCGUUGUCCGGAAUUACUGGGCGUAAAGGGCGUGUAGGCGGCCUGUUAAGUUAGACGUGAAAUCCCUGGGCUUAACCCAGGACCUGCGUUUAAAACUGGCGGGCUUGAGGACCGGAGAGGGCAGUGGAAUUCCCAGUGUAGCGGUGAAAUGCGUAGAUAUUGGGAGGAACACCAGUGGCGAAGGCGACUGCCUGGACGGCCCCUGACGCUGAGGCGCGAAAGCUAGGGGAGCAAACGGGAUUAGAUACCCCGGU
rnacentral:rRNA from 1 species